AACUUGAAGCCAAGACAGGAAGCAGGAAAGGGGCUUCCAGGUCACAGCACAAAGAGGCAAAGCAGAAGCAGCAGACAGGACGUCAAAGAACCAGUGCAUGGCUGCGCCGGGCCCCGGGGCUUCCCACACGGGUUACUGUCAUCCUUCCGAAUCACUGGACUUGAAGCCCAGCAUGUUGCUGAGUUUUGCUCCAGAGACAAUUGCCAUUUGUUAUUUAAGUGACAAAGGUAACGCAUGCCGGCGGGAAGCAAUGCACAAAAUGUGAAGGUGAGUGGAGACCCUCCCCAGACCCCCCACCUCUGCCACCACCACAAACACGCACAAUCCAAGUGUAUCCAUGCUUCUGUAGACUGAUUUUUGCUAUUAUUUGUUCUUAUAAACAUGGGGUCCAUAUACCAGCUUCCGAGGGCUACCUAACAAAAUAUCACUGACCAGGUGGUAUAGACAGCAGAAGUUUGUUUUCUCCCUGCCCCAGAGGCUGGAGGUCUGAGAUCAGGGUGUGGGCAGGGCUGGUUUCUCCUGGGGCCUCCCUGCGUGGCUUGUGGACGCUGUCUCCUCCCAGUAUCCUCCUGUGGCCACCCCUCUGUGUGUCCGUGCACUCGCCUCUUCUCGUAAGGACAGUCAGAUUGGACCAGGGCCCCACCUCAUGACCUCAUUUUAGCAGACUGUGUGAGAGAACUGUUGCCCACAUUCUCACCAGACAGGCGUAUGGUUCUUUGUUCUUUUCUCAACUCUUUCUAAGGAAAAUCUCAAACAUACACAAAAGUCCAGAGAACAGAACAACGAACCAUACUCACCACCCAGCUGCGACCACCAUCAGCUUUUACUAAUUGUAUUGCAUCUGUUUCCCUGGCCAUUUUCUGGAACAUAUUUAGAACAAAUCCCUGCCAAACAUUAUGGUAUUUCACCAACAGACACCCAUACGCAUUUCUAAGGCACCAAGAGUUUUUAGCAACCUAGGUGCAAUCCCGUUAAUUCCUCAAUAUCAGCAAAGGCCACAAGGCUUCUGCUAGUGAGUGUUAGGCUGUGGAGCACUUCAGUAGGCCUCAAUUCCAUCUCCCUCUUUGCUAGCGUGGUGGGACCACCUUCAGACCUUUGCUUUUGAGGUAGGAGGUGGGACCUGAGUCCAGAGGCGGGGCUCUUGGACACAGGACCAAAUUGAAGACUAGCUGAAACAGGGAGGGGCAGAAAACCAGUGUGCCAUGUCAGUUUACCAUUGUCACGGCAAUACCCGGAGUACCACCCCUUCAAUAACCUGACAACCCGGAAGUUACCACCCUUUUCCUAAAAGUUCUGCAUAAACCACCCCUAAUUUGCAUAUAAUUAAAAGUGGACCUAAACAUGACUGCAGACCUGCCGCUAAGCUGCUACCCUGGGCGCACUGCCUAUGGGGGAGCCCUGCUUUACCAAGAGCAGUCCCUCCGUUGCCGCCGCUGUGCACGGGGCUUCCACAAAAGCUUCUGCCUCACACCCCUGGCCCGCCCUGGAGUUCUUCCCUCCUGGGCAAGCCCCGAUUUUGGUGUUUGCCUGUCCUGCAUCGCUUUCAUCUGGAUUUCCUCCCAUGUGAAAUUAGCUGUGCAGAUCCUUCCCUUUUUUUUUUUUCUAUUGAAUCAUUUUCCUCUUAUCAAUACGUAUGUUCUCUUUCUAUAUGAAGUUAUAUGCAGAUUCAGAAGAGAAGGCUUCAGGCAAGUUCCUUCUCCAGCCCCUGCUCCCAUCUCUCUCUUCCCUGUUUCUCUGGCCCUUGCUCUCAUCUCUCUCUGCCCUGCUUGGAGGCAUCCAGCCUUCUUCACCACAGGGAACAUGGAGCUCAAAAGAUAACACACACCUUAAUGCUGUUGACAGCUGCCCCAGUGGCAAAGGGACAUGUUUUCAUCACCUACACCUUGUUUGGCCAGUUAGAGGGCUGUGUUUCUCAGAGUCAGGAAGUCCUGGGCCAGGUGGAGGAAAGAAAUGGCGCAGCCACCUCUGGCCUCCUCCUGCUCCUCCUGGAUCUGGGAGAUGGCGCCCAGCCAAGCCCUCCAUGCCCUGCCCGUGAGUGGGAUGUCUGACUGCUCUCACCGUCUCUCCUUCUCCCCUUAACCCCAGGCCCAACCCCUCCGGGCUCACUGCUUGUGGUUUUUCUGCUUAGGAAUUGGUCCCUGGGUGUAGCCCAGGCUUGUAGGGCCCCGUCCUCCCCAGCCCUGCUCCCCACUGUUCAGGGGCAGCCCCCCCACUCCUCCCACCUGCCGUGGCUCUUUGCUGCACCCUCCCUGGCCCAGUCUUGGCAUUCGCCCUUAUCAGUUCUCCGUCUUCUUUGAAGCUGAGACAGAGUAUUGUCCCCCACUUGCUUGCAGAUGCUAAGAUGGAGUUUAGAGCACAGGAUAUUGAUCAGGGACCCAUGCCUGGGAAAGGGGCAGAGAGAGAAGCCCAGCAAGAUGCACCCUGGCCCAGCCUCGGCACCCCCAGGGAGCCCUGGGCUGUGGGGCCUGUUAGAGUUGCUGCAGGUGGGCGGGAAGGGCUGGGCAUUCAUACCCCCCACAGCUGGUCCCGGGUAAGGUGACCAUCUGCAGCUGAGGCAGCCUGAAGGAGGGACAGCUGGAGGUAUCUGAGGCUGCUCUCCCAAUGCUGGAGGGCAGGGCCUUCCCUGGAGGGAUCCGAAGGGGCAUUUCCAUGCCCAGCUCAUACAGGAAGCUUAUUGGAGCCUCACAUCUGGAAAGCACUACAGACCGCACCGCAGACCGCACGACAGACCGCACCGCAGACCGCUCUACAGACCGGCACAUGCGCAACCCUGCCCGGCUGCUCUCCCUCCCUGCCUGGCUGCUCUCCCUCCCUGCCCAGCUGCUUUCUCUCCCUGCUGUGACCAGGCCAUUUUGGUGCAUUAUCUGUGCUCAGCGCUUUCCUCCUCUAUUUGAUGACUUUUCCAGGCAGUGGGCCUGGGGGUGAAGUCCCCUUGACCUUUGGGCUCCACCCAGGCACCUGGAGCCCCUGGGCUCUUCCCCUGCAGGGAACUGUUAGCAUCCUGCACUUUGCCCUCCUCCCAUCCUGCCCACGGGAGAUGCAGCGUGAACUCCUAGUCCUCAAAAAGGCUUAA
rnacentral:lncRNA from 1 species